GAAGGAUCAUUAGUGAAUAUUAGGACGUUCAAUUUAACUUGAAGUCCGAACUCCCACUUUCUAACCCUGUGCAUUUGUUUUGGCUAGUAGGAUAUCUCGGUAUCCGAACACCUCUUCAUUUACAAACACUAAGUCUAUGAAUGUUUAAAUUUUAUAACAAUAUAAAACUUUCAACAACGGAUCUCUUGGCUCUCGCAUCGAUGAAGAACGCAGCGAAAUGUGAUAAGUAAUGUGAAUUGCAGAAUUCAGUGAAUCAUCGAAUCUUUGAACGCAUCUUGCACUCUUUGGUAUUCCGAAGAGUAUGUCUGUUUGAGUGUCAUGAAUUCUUCAACCCUCCCUUUUCUUAGUGAAUUGAGAGGAGUUUGGAUUCUGAGUGUUGCUCCUAAUACGAGCUCAUUCGUAAUACAUUAGCAUCCAUAUUCGAAUUUCGGAUUGACUUGGCGUAAUAGACUAUUCGCUGAGGAAUCUAACUUCGGUUAGAGCCGUGUUUGAACUAGGAAGCUACUAAUCUAGCUUAGUCUACCUUUAGAUUAGACCUCAAAUCAGGCAGGAUUACCCGCUGAACUUA
rnacentral:misc_RNA from 1 species